UCCCAGACUCCUACGGGAGGCAGCAGUGGGGAAUAUUGGGCAAUGGGCGCAAGCCUGACCCAGCAAUGCCGCGUGAAGGAAGAAGGCUUUCGGGUUGUAAACUUCUUUGACAGGGGAAGAGCAGAAGACGGUACCCUGAAAACAAGCCACGGCUAACUACGUGCCAGCAGCCGCGGUAAUACGUAGGGGGCAAGCGUUAUCCGGAUUUACUGGGUGUAAAGGGCGUGCAGCCGGAGAGACAAGUCAGAUGUGAAAUCCGCAGGCUCAACCUGCGAACUGCAUUUGAAACUGUUUCCCUUGAGUAUCGGAGAGGUCAUCGGAAUUCCUAGUGUAGCGGUGAAAUGCGUAGAUAUUAGGAAGAACACCAGUGGCGAAGGCGGAUGACUGGACGACAACUGACGGUGAGGCGCGAAAGCGUGGGGAGCAAACAGGAUUAGAUACCCGCGUAUC
rnacentral:rRNA from 1 species